rnacentral:rRNA from 1 species
CGUCAAAUCAUCAUGCCCCUUAUGUUCAGGGCUACACACGUGCUACAAUGGCCAAUACAAAGGGUUGCCAAGGAGUAAUCUGGAGCUAAUCCCAUAAAGUUGGUCCCAGUUCGGAUUGUGGGCUGAAACUCGCCCACAUGAAGUUGGAGUUGCUAGUAAUCGCGAAUCAGCAUGUCGCGGUGAAUGCGUUCCCGGGUCUU